AACGAACGCUGGCGGCAUGCCUAACACAUGCAAGUCGAACGAGAUCUUCGGGUCUAGUGGCGCACGGGUGCGUAACGCGUGGGAAUCUGCCCUUUGGUUCGGAAUAACAGUUGGAAACGACUGCUAAUACCGGAUGAUGACGAAAGUCCAAAGAUUUAUCGCCAGAGGAUGAGCCCGCGUAGGAUUAGCUAGUUGGUGUGGUAAGGGCGCACCAAGGCGACGAUCCUUAGCUGGUCCGAGAGGAUGAUCAGCCACACUGGGACUGAGACACGGCCCAGACUCCUACGGGAGGCAGCAGUGGGGAAUAUUGGACAAUGGGCGAAAGCCUGAUCCAGCAAUGCCGCGUGAGUGAUGAAGGCCUUAGGGUUGUAAAGCUCUUUUACCCGGGAUGAUAAUGACAGUACCGGGAGAAUAAGCUCCGGCUAACUCCGUGCCAGCCGCCGCUGUAA
rnacentral:rRNA from 1 species